AUUGAACGCUGGCGGCAGGCCUAACACAUGCAAGUCGAACGAGUGGCGGACGGGUGAGUAAUGUCUGGAAAACUGCCUGAUGGAGGGGGAUAACUACUUGAACCGGUAGCUAAUACCGCAUACCAUCAGAUGUGCCCUGAUGGGAUUAGCUAGUUGGUGGGGUAACGGCUCACCAAGGCGACGAUCCCUAGCUGGUCUGAGAGGAUGACCAGCCACACUGGAACUGAGACACGGUCCAGACGCCUACGGGAGGCAGCAGUGGGGAAUAUUGCACAAUGGGCGAAAGCCUGAUUCAGCCAUGCCGCGUGUAUGAAGAAGGCCUUCGGGUUGUAAAGUACUUUCAGCGGGGAGGCGUUACCCGCAGAAGAAGCACCGGCUAACUCCGUGCCAGCAGCCGCGGUAAUAC
rnacentral:rRNA from 1 species